rnacentral:rRNA from 1 species
UGCAAACUGCGAAUACCGGAGAAUGUUAUCACGGGAGACACACGGCGGGUGCUAACGUCCGUCGUGAAGAGGGAAACAACCCAGACCGCCAGCUAAGGUCCCAAAGUCAUGGUUAAGUGGGAAACGAUGUGGGAAGGCCCAGACAGCCAGGAUGUUGGCUUAGAAGCAGCCAUCAUUUAAAGAAAGCGUAAUAGCUCACUGGUCGAGUCGGCCUGCGCGGAAGAUGUAACGGGGCUAAACCAUGCACCGAAGCUGCGGCAGCGACGCUGAUGCGUUGUUGGGUAGGGGAGCGUUCUGUAAGCCUGCGAAGGUGUGCUGUGAGGCAUGCUGGAGGUAUCAGAAGUGCGAAUGCUGACAUAAGUAACGAUAAAGCGGGUGAAAAGCCCGCUCGCCGGAAGACCAAGGGUUCCUGUCCAACGUUAAUCGGGGCAGGGUGAGUCGACCCCUAAGGCGAGGCCGAAAGGCGUAGUCGAUGGGAAACAGGUUAAUAUUCCUGUACUUGGUGUUACUGCGAA